UUCCCUCUUCCCCUCUCUCCCUCUCUCCCUCUCUCCCUCUCUCUCUCUUUGAGAAACUCUCAGAGGAGCUCCCAUUCUUCUGAAAGUUCAAACCUUCUCCUCUUCGUUUUUCCCUCUUUGUGAGAGGAUCGCCGGAGCCCCGCCGCCGCCGGAGCCACCAACGCCGCCUGGGAUUCAUCCAUUGACGACCGGAGGUGAGGAAGAUAUUUUUGUUAUCACUUUUUAUGGAUUUAAGGGGAGAAAUGAGGGAUAUCAACCGGUUUUACCUUCCCCUGUUUCUGAAGACUUUUUUUUUGUGAAGUUUGGCCGGCCGACGGUGGCCGGCCGGGGUCAAUCCGGCCGAAAUGAGUUCGGCCGGAGGUGGGCGAACAGGGGGGACGAGUUUUGCAGCCCCGGCCUCCCUCCUUCCUCUUUUUCUUCUUUUCCUCUUCCUCUUCUCGUUCGGCGCCGCUCGUGAAGGUUGGGUAGCCGACGGCGGCUGGCCGAGCGCCGCCGUCGAGGGCCACAGUCGGCCGCC
rnacentral:lncRNA from 1 species